rnacentral:siRNA from 1 species
GGAGGACAUCAGUUUUUGGGCA